GGACAGGUGGUCGAGUGGUUGAUGGCACCGCACUCGAAAUGCGGAGAACCUUUACGGGUUUCGUGAGUUCGAAUCUCACCCUGUCCGCCA
rnacentral:tRNA from 1 species